rnacentral:rRNA from 1 species
GACGAACGCUGGCGGCGUGCUUAACACAUGCAAGUCGAACGGAAAGGCCCUGCUUUUGUGGGGUGCUCGAGUGGCGAACGGGUGGGUAACACGUGAGUAACCUGCCCUUGACUUUGGGAUAACUUCAGGAAACUGGGGCUAAUACCGGAUAGGAGCUCCUGCUGCAUGGUGGGGGUUGGAAAGUUUCGGCGGGUGGGGAUGGACUCGCGGCUUAUCAGCUUGUUGGUGGGGUAGUGGCUUACCAAGGCUUUGACGGGUAGCCGGCCUGAGAGGGUGACCGGCCACAUGGGGACUGAGAGACGGCCCAGACUCCUACGGGAGGCAGCAGUGGGGAAUAUUGCACAGUGGGCGGAAGCCUGAUGCAGCAACGCCGCGUGCGGGAUGACGGCCUUCGGGUUGUAAACCGCUUUCGCCUGUGACGAAGCGUGAGUGACGGUAAUGGGUAAAGAAGCACCGGCUAACUACGUG